rnacentral:rRNA from 1 species
UACGUAGGGGGCUAGCGUUGUCCGGAUUUAUUGGGCGUAAAGAGCGUGUAGGCGGCCAGGUAGGUCUGCUGUGAAAACUCGAGGCUCAACCUCGAGACGUCGGCGGAAACCAUCGGGCUAGAGUGCGGAAGAGGCGAGUGGAAUUCCUGGUGUAGCGGUGAAAUGCGCAGAUAUCAGGAGGAACACCUAUUGCGAAGGCAGCUCGCUGGGACGUAACUGACGCUGAGACGCGAAAGCGUGGGGAGCAAACAGG